AACGAACGCUGGCGGCAUGCCUAACACAUGCAAGUCGAACGAGACCUUCGGGUCUAGUGGCGCACGGGUGCGUAACGCGUGGGAACCUGCCCUUAGGUUCGGAAUAACUCCCCGAAAGGGGUGCUAAUACCGGAUAAUGUCUUCGGACCAAAGAUUUAUCGCCCUUGGAUGGGCCCGCGUUGGAUUAGCUAGUUGGUAGGGUAAAAGCAUACCAAGGCGACGAUCCAUAGCUGGUCUGAGAGGAUGAUCAGCCACACUGGGACUGAGACACGGCCCAGACUCCUACGCGAUGCAGCAGUGGGGAAUAUUGGACAAUGGGCGAAAGCCUGAUCCAGCACUGCCGCGUGAGUGAUGAAGGCCUUAGGGUUGUAAAGCUCUUUUACCCGGGAUGAUAAUGACAGUACCGGGAGAAUAAGCUCCGGCUAACUCCGUG
rnacentral:rRNA from 1 species